rnacentral:lncRNA from 1 species
UUGGCCUAGGUAUUUAUCUCAUUGAUAAAUUUAAUUCAACGAUCUUCCAAUUUGUAUUUUAUUGUCAUUGCUUUAAUUGUUUAAGUGAAAUUAGGUGUAAAACUCUGAUUCGAAAAAGAUGUCUCAUUAAGAAGAACCCUUGUUCGAAAGUUGUUUUGGGUAAGUGUGGAGAUAUACCACAAGGAAGAAUGCGAAGAGAAGAGUGUAAGCCAAAUGUCCUAUCACAUGAAGGUGAGUAAGGUGAUAAGAAUAGCAGACAAGAAAGGCAAUAUGUUGAGUGAGGCAUUGAAAGGAUACCACAAGAAGUAUCUGUACCUACGAGAUUGAGGCAAAGAAUUAAACGUCUUGUCAAACGACAUGACAACUCGCUAUGAAAAAAAAAACGACGGUAGCUUCUUCGGAAAGAGAACGGAGACAGUUAGACAAUUAAGAGUUUGACUUCCCAAUGAGAUAAGAUGUGUGUCUCAAAGGAAAAAUCAAAUCAUCGUUGACAAAUAGGCUACGUGUCGAAUUCAGAUUGGUAGCAUUAUUUUAUUCUAAAUUUUCUCUAAUUUUACUUUCCCUCCUAAACUUUUUCACUAAAAAAUUAGAAAAGAACCCUUUUCUUUGUUUCCCUCUCUCCAUCUCACUCCUUUCUCUUUUAUUUUCUACCUUCAUCUCCACGAAACCCAAUUCUACCUCUUAUCUUCGUCUCCACGAAACCCAUUUGAACGACCACACGGAAUAACAAGGAUAGAUUUUGCUAUUGUUGUUGUGAGGAUGAGAUGUGGGAGAGGUUGAAACCGAAAAUGGCAACACACACCAUGUUUGAUAUGUUUUUCUACUUCUUUUUCUCUAUUGGAAUUCAUAUCUAUCCAAAUUGAAGCCUUAAUCCUCUUUCUCCCUUUAUUGUUGUGUAAAUUCAGAUUUACGUGGAUGUAUUAUCAACUGUGGUGCCAGUUGCCAAUUGCUUUCUUAUUAUAACGUACCUUUUCUAUUUCUAGUUCUAUCUUCCAAGUUCUACCUAGUACCAAUUCCUAAGCCAUUUCUAUUAAUAUUCUUUAUUUUAGAUCAGAGAUGUUGUGUGCUGAAACUCAUCUCACUCCACACACCAACAAGGUGAGUGUAGGCUGCAACAACCUUUCAUUGACUUUCUUCAACCAAAUAAAAUGCCCACUAUUGACUUUCUUAUCUUUCUGGUGUGCUUCAAGUCACAUGCUGGAAGGAGGAUGCUUUCGUUGUCGGUAGCUAUUGAUCUAGAGGAGUUAUUACUGUUGCUGAUGGUGUCUCUGAGUAUGGUUUGAGAAUAUGAGAUUGAGAAAUAUUGGAGAGUAGUAUACCCAAUUAAUAUCUUGUUUAAUUAUGGCUGUUCUUGAAUUUUUUCUUGCUUAGUUGGACUGAAGAAAACAUGGAUCCUUCUUUGUUCUCUCGAUAGUUCUUGGCUAACGCUUCAGAUUUAGUGAAAAAUGAUGAUGAAGUUAUUGUUGGGAUUUAUGUCCUAAAACUCGUAAAUUGUAAAUAUAAUUCAUUGACCAUUAUUAAUAAAGUGUUAUUAUUGUAAUAAUUGUUAUUGAUUAAAUUAUUAGUUUUUGUCUUAAUAAUCCAAAUCCAAUAAACUAACAUCUUAAAUUAAACAGUCUUGAACAGUAUGUAGAGACAUACAGGGAUCGUAACACUAUUGAUACGACUCACUUUGUAUUUGAUACAAACGCAAUGAUCCAACGUGUUUGUGUAGUUGACAUGCGAGUGAGUGUAUCCUAUGCAAUGAGUUUGCAUAAGAUCGAACCGCGAAAUAGUAACCACUAUAUGUAACUCCGUUAAUUAGUUAGGUUUCUAUUUGACUAGGAUGACCUAAGUAACUUAGUCUUAAUUUUGAGUGUGUUAUGAACUCCUGUUUGCGAGGGAUUGUCCUUUGAAUUGUACGAGUGAGACUGACCAGAUCGCCGACUUAAUAAGCUUAUCAUUUUGGGGACAAGACCGAGCUGGGAGCUGAGAACAUAAUUACACACGAUGAAAUUCACUCAUUCCCUACUUUAGGGUAAGUAGAUAAGUAUUCCCUUAAAUUGUAUCUCCAGGUUUUGAACAGAGGGUCCUACCCUCUCUAUGGCACAAGAGAGGUUUUUGUUUAUUAGUAGGACCAUAAACAAGUUGUUCAUUGUAGGAGCACUGAUAUUUAAGGAUUAGAGGUAACCUAUGGGUAAAACGGUAAAUUGACCCAGUUGGUGUUACGAACACUCGUGAAGGACUAACUUACUGUUAUUGGUCUAUAUCCGUGAACACAUAAAUAUAUUUACAAUGAGAAGAGUUCAGCUGUGAGUCUUUAGUGGAGUGUACACACAGUUAACGAAUAUUGAUUAAUGAGGUUAAUGAGUUUAGCUAAUUAAUCUCAGAUCGUUGUAGCUUCUGAUCUAUAGGUCCAUUAGGUCCCCUUCCUAGUUCAUAAAAGGUAAUUAGAUUUAGUUAAAUUGGUUGUAAUUUGAAAUGUUCAAAUUUACUUAGGGAAUUAAUGAUGUAAAGUGAUACAUUAUAAUAUAAAGUUUGUGAAACUUUAUUAUAUAAAUUUAAUUUUGGAUAUGAUUCAAAAUUAAUUUAUGAGAGAUUAAAUAUUUGAAUAAGUUUAAAUAUUAAUUUAAUGUAAAUUGGAUUCAUAUCAAAAUUAAUGGUUACGAGAGAAACUUAUAUUUGAAUAUGAUUCGAAUUUAAUUUACCUUAAAUACACGAUAUUUAAUUUAGUUAUUAAUUAUUAUUAUUAUUAUAAUAAUAAUUAUUAUUAUUAUUAUUUGGUAGUGGUAGUGGUGGUGGUAGUAUAAUAAUAAUAAUAUAUGUUUGCAUUCUUUCUUCGACAUUUUACUUUGAAUUUAUUUUGACAAUACUACAAUGUUAUUUAGUAUUAGUUAAUUAGUUUGAUUUUUCUUUCUUCACGUUAUUAUUCUCUUUACAUUUUAUCCUUAAAAGAAAAACUCCAACGACGAAAUUUAGAAAUAUUUGGGAGUUCGUAAUUUCUAAAUUUUUUAGGUGAGGGGAUCGAUUCUUUGGGAGACCUUGAUCGAUCUCCAAUACUUAAAAAAAAAAAAAAACAAAAUCUUAUGUUAUUUGCUUAAUUUGUUGUGUGGCAUAUUUGAUUUUGUUUGUUUGUCAUUCCCUAUUUGACCUCUAUUUCAAAAUUUUCAAAGCUUUAAAAUAUUUUAACUUAAAUCACAAGUAAUUUUGAAGUCUUUUUUAAUUUAAAAAAAGUAAUUAUUUAGAAAUUUUUUGCUUUAGACUUAGAAUAUUGACAUGACAUUCCUCUCUAUAAGUUUGAAAUUCAAUUUUUCAUCCGCAAUUUAUGUCACAUAAUAAAUAAAAAUGAUUUAUAUCAAUUGAUUAUUUGGAUUAGUCCCGUAUCCUAGUAGAUAACUUAUUAGUAGUGAAUUAAAUGAACUCCAUAGAAUGGCUAGAGUUAGGGUUUGGUGUGGGAUGAAUUAAUUUUUUUAAAAGAAAAGAAAUUUGAAAAGAGGGCUUUGUCAUAGUGUAUUUAACCCAUCAUUUAUAAGGAUUUAUUGGUGUAAGUAAGUGUGGUGUUAUAUUGCUCUAUUUGGCCUUACACGAUAAUAAUAAACAAAAUAGUUGUUGUAUGAAUGUGGUGAUUUUUUGUUUCGUAAAGAAAAUGUAUGUUAGUUACAGUUGAGAUCAACUCAAUUUAAUUAAAUAAUUAUAUGAUUAAUGUAAUAUAGUUGCAAUAGUUGUUGUAAUAUUUAUAAUACUUGUAACAUUUUAUUUAUUAUUAUUUUAGUAGUCACACAAGUAAAAGUUAUUUACACUAAGGUGUUGCAAGUAAUUAAUUGAUUGAGACAAGAAGUAGAGUAUAGGCCAGUGAGAAUAUUUAUCUUCUUUCUUAUGUUACGUACUCUCAUAUCCCAAUAGUCCUACUCCCUUGGGUUCUAGCUUUCUCUGCCCAUUUCAGUCACCCAUAAAACUAAGAAUUGAACAAGAAGAAGCUAAGUUAAUUUAUACUUGUUUCUUGUUUCAAUUCUCACCUAAACUCACCCAACCAAGAUCGGUGAGCGACAGUAACAGAGAACAACAACGAAUUGGUAGUAAGGAUAGCUGCAAUCAAACAGGUUGCACAAUAAAGAGUGACGACUAAACAUUUGUUAGGGAAGAAGAUGAACCUUUUCUUUAUAUUUAUUUCUUCGAAGGCACAAAAUUUUAAACAUUUAUAACUAUUAUUAAUAACAACCAUAAUAAUAAUUUAUUUUUCUCUCACUAAAAGAUAUAAUAAACAAAGAAAUUUUUUCAAAAAUAGCAAACUUUACAAAAAAAUUUACAGCCUAGCAAAUUCUAUCACUAUAGUUAUUGAUAUAGUGUAAUGAUAGAAGAAUAUUAAUGAUAAAAUCUAAAAUUUUGUUAUUGUUUGUAAAUAUUUUAAUGUAUUUUACUAUUUUUAAAAAUGUUCCAUAAACAUUUAUGUUUAUUUAAACUCAUCUUCCCCUCCUAAUUAAAUCCAAAAUGUUUUCUAAUCCAAUCAAAUAAACUAUCUCUCCUCAUUAAUUAUCCUCUAUUCUUUUAAAGAGAAUUGUAAAAAAUAGCAAAUUUGACAAAAUAUUUACAACAUAUAACAAAAUUUAAUAUUUUAUCAAUAAUAGAUAUUGAUAGACAUCAAUCUGCUUCUAUUAGUAACAUUGAUAGACAAUGAUAAAAAUCUAUCGAUUUCUGUUAUUGAUAGAAUCCAAAAUUUUACUAUAACUUCUAAAUAUUUAUUUUUAUUUUGCUAUUUUUAAAAAUACUCAUUCUUUUGAUUAACUUUCCAUUUCGAAAUCUCAAAUCAACUUAAAAUUCUUUAAAAUUUUAAAUUAACGAAGAUCUUGUCCAAUAAAUUACUUAUUUUAAAAUUUUAUGAUUUCCAACCUAAUUAUUUUAACCCAAUAAUUCAAUUUUAGCUCCUAUAAUCAGAAUAAAUUGUAGCUAUUAGUGCUACAGAUGGUCUAAUGAGAGGAAUGAAAGUUGUUGACAUGAGAGCCUUUUUAAGUGUUCCAGUUGACGAAGCGUGUCCCGACCGAAUUUUGACUAAAUAAUUUAAGAUAAUUAAAAAAAAUUCUUAAAAUUUGGAAUAUUAAUUUCUUUCGCUCUAAGAAAUAUGAGUUUCAAUGACAAUGUCAUAAAUGGAAAAAAAAAACACAGUUUUGGCAGAAAAAUGUAGAAUGUUUCGGACUUGAAGAAUUUAUAUGAUAAUUUUUAAAGUUUAAUUUUUAUAAAUAUAAUAAACGAGCAAAAUAUCUAUCAUUGGUUUAACAAAAUGAAAAAGUCCAUUAAGUUGUCUAUUUUUUAAAAAUAUUUCACGUUUGUUUUUUCUUUUCAUCGUCUUUCUUCUUUUCUUCCUUUCUCCAAUUUUUUUCGUCUUUUUCUCUAGUUCUUUUUGUAAAUUUUUAAAACUUUUUUUGGGAUUGUUAUGCAAAAUUAUAAUGGGAAUUGAUAGCUAAUUUGGAAAUCAGGUUGGUUGGAAGUUUGAUGGACGGAAUCAAGUUCCAAGUGUGACUUAUUUUGAAGCUUUUGAUCAUCAUCUUGUUUGCCCCCUAACAUCAAAUACAGCCGCCCUAUGAUGACGAUACCUCUACCAACAAUGCUACACAAAUACAUAUUUACUAAUACAAAACUUUUUUUUAUAUAUCUAAUAAAUUUCUCCAACUUUUAAAAUUAUCUUUUUAAAAAAAGAUUGUUUCUAACAUAUUUGAUUAAGAAUUUAAAUCUUUAUUGAAAGGAGUCAAAGACUAUAAUAUGGAAUUUGAGAGAGAAAAAAGGAUAAGUUUCAAAACUAAAAGCAACAUAGACUAUAAUGAUAAGUAUUUCUUUUGUUCCUCUCUAUUAAUUAGUUGCCGUUAACUUUUAUUUAAUAUCGGGGUGUUGGUAAAAAAGCAUAGCAUUGAAGAUAUAAAAAAGAGGGAGAGGUGUGUGUCCAUAAAAGAAGAGUAGAAGUGAGUUAGGUUGGGUGAAUUAUGUUGAAUUAAACUCGUUUGGAGGCUGGGGCUUUUAAUUUGGAGAACUAUAAUUAACAACAAAUUAAAGAAGCAUUGAUCCAUCUUACACACAAUCAUACUCCCCAUAAAUUAAAUACACAAGAAUCACCAAUCUUUUCAUCUUCAUCUUCUUCUUCCAUGGUCUCCAAAUCCUCCUCUCUCACCACUCCCUUAUAAAUACACAAUCACCACUCUUUUCAUAUCAUCUUCUUCUUUCGUCUCCAACCCUUCUCAAUCUUAGAUAUGACUUCAUCAAUACUUUUCAUUGUUGCGUUUUUGUUCUUGAUGAAACCCUCAUGUUCCUCCCCCUAAUAGCAUUUUAAUUUUAGCCGGCCAAAGCAACAUGGGUGAUCCUGGUGGAGUUAAUUAUCCACUCUUCUGUGCCAACAUUUGUGUUUGGGAUAAACAUAUUCCUCCAGGAUCGAUACCCCAACCCUCCACUCUUCGAUUUGCUUUAAACUACACCUGGGAGCAAGGUCGGGAGCCCCUUCAUUGGGACAUUGACCCUACCAAGACCAACGGUGUCGGUCCAGGAAUGGCUUUUGCAGAUCAUCUCCUUGCAAAAGCUAGCGAAAAUGUUGGCACAGAAAAGUGGACAAUUAACUCUAGAAUGAUCGGAUAUAUUUUUGGCUCAAUCUGCUUAAAUUCCAAAUGGAGUUUCUUCAUUCUUCUUAGAAUGAUCAUAUAUAUUUAGGUUCUUUCUCUAGACUUUUGUUGUUUUAUUCCAUUUUUUUCAUCUUUAUUUACAUUGUUUUCUACAUCUUUAACUGGGUUAGCUAGAUUGUUCUCGUAUAAGUGAAUGGAUUAAAGGGACUGGUAGGUAUACAAGCUUGAUCCGACGGAUCAAUGCUUCUUUGGAGUCUGGUGGCCGCCUACAAGGGUUUGUAUGGUUUCAAGGAGAAUCUGAUGCUGCAUUAGAGGUAGAAUCACAAGUCUACCACCAAAAUUUGAUAAACUUUUUUAAGGAUCUUCGUGACGACCUGAACCAACCGACUUUGCCCAUCCUACUGGUUUGUGAUCUCUAUCUAUCUUUCAUUUUUUAUUUUAGUUACUUAAAAUUUUCACUUGUGGAUUUUUUUAAAUUUGUAGGUGAAGAUAGCUAACCACGAUCUCAACAUUAGCCCAUUUAUAAGUUAUGUAGAGGACGUAAGAAAGGCGGAAGAGGCAGUCGAUCAUGAGUUGCUUGACGUAACAACUGUGGAUGCUAAAAAAGCAGUCCAACAUGUUCUGAAUCUCGGCCAAGAACCUUAUAAUCACGAUGGACAUCUCAGUGUACACACUGAGGUAAAAAUAGGAAUAAUGCUGGCCAAGGCUUAUAUAAAAUUUAGUUUGAAGUAGUAGAUAAGCCUCAACAUUGUUGGAUCGAGCUCUUCACCUUGAACGAAAAUAUAACCCAUUAUGGUUUCUAGCUUGCUUCAAUUAACUCUGAGUUAUGUUUAUCCUAUUUCUUUGUAAUAUUUCUUCGUUGAUCAGUAUUAAUAAAUAUUAAUAUUCUCACUAGCCUCCACACUGUGCUUCUUUUUGUCUUUUGUCUCAAUCAAAUUAUUUCAUGUGUCUCCCAAAUGCCAACAACAAUAAAAGAUAGAAUGAAAUAUUCGCUGCAUUGUCAUUUGAACUCUCCACGCUGCACUAUUCCCUCCCCUUUUCAACUCCACGCCGCACAAUAAAGCUUCUUCUUGUUUGUUCUAUCUGAAGCUUCUGAACUUGUUGCACUUGUAGCUUCCAAACAUGCUGAAGAGAAUUUCAAGUCGUGAAUAAAAAUUCAUUUCUCUAUGAUAGAAUCAAAUAAAUAAAUUACAAAUGCAGCUAUCGUAACUUGAUCAUGCAAAUCAUUUAAUCAAAUUGAAUCCAUCUCAACCCUUAAUUAAGAUGCAUUCUCUUUUUUAAACCGUACUUGUGAAAGAUGUUAAUGUAAAUAAAGUAGGCUUAGUUAUUUUGGGUAAUGAUGUUAAUGUAAAUAAAGUAGGCUUAGUUUAUUUGGGUAAUUACCCUGGUAUAAAUACACUCCCUUUGGUCAAUAAAAAUAUUAAGAGAAUAUUCUUCAGAAUAUACUUUCACAUGGUAUCAGAGCUAGGGUUUUCAUCUUAGCCGCCGCCGCCGCCGCCGCCCACCCGUGAAAGUCUCCGUCUCCGUCAACCUCAUCGCGCCUCGCAGCCGUUCCGUCAUCGUCAUCCUCAUCGCGCCUCGCGUCUCGCAGACAGCUCCGAUCUGUCUCCAGCCCUUCCGCGCGCCUCGCAGACAGCUCCGAUCUGUCUCCAGCCAUUCCACCACAACAUCGGCGUCGCGCCGAUCAGUCGCAGCCUCGGCAUCGCAGGUGGCCGUUUCCGCUCCGAUUCGUCUCCAUCCGCGAGGCAGCCGUACGCGUCACCUUGCGGCCGCCACGUGAACCAGUAACCGUUCAGAUUUGCUGUCUGUUCGCGAUGGUUUCCAAACCGCACGCGACUUCUCUUCCAGCCGUGAGUGCAAGACGACGUCUACCGUCCGACGCCGCCCACCAGAUCUGACGAAUCCUUCAGUCGUUUGUCUUCAGAUCUGACGAAUCUUUCAGCCGUUUGUCUUCAAGUUUUUUUGUUUGUCUCCGUUCCCAGCCGUGCACCCCUGAAUCCAGUCGCCAAAUACAGUGAAACCCAGAUCUGACAAAUCCAGUCACGAAUCAGUCAAAACUCGGCCGAAAAUCCGCAUUGUUAACCCAAAUCAAAAUGGAGAGAGACCAUAUCUUUAGACCCAUUUCUACCAUACUUGAUGGUACAAAUUAUAUCACAUGGGCAAAUCAAAUGAAAAGUUUUCUUAUUGGAAGAAAACUAUGGCGCAUUGUAACUGGCGACAUCACCAAACCAACUGCAAAGGAAGGGGAUAACACAUUCAUUGAACGUCUCGAAGAUUGGGACAGUAAAAAUCAUCAAAUUAUCACCUGGCUUGAUAACACCUCUAUUCCCGCUAUACAUGCACAGUUUGAUACCUUUGAUGAUGCUAAAAUAUUAUGGGAUUUUUUGUCUACACGCUUCAAGUCUAUUGGUUUAGCCCAUUAUUACCAACUGCACAGUACACUUGUAAAUCUAAAUCAAGAUUCUGGUCAGUCUGUUAAUGAAUAUUUGGCAGUUCUUCAACCCAUUUGGACUCAACUUGACCAAGCGAACAUCAGCAAAGAUCAUCUUCGCCUUAUUAAAGUCCUUAUGGGAUUACGUCCAGAAUAUGAAUCUGUUAGAGCUGCUUUACUACACCGGAAUCCCUUACCCUCAUUAGAUGCAGCUAUUCAAGAAAUUCUGUUUGAAGAAAAGCGUCUUGGCAUCAACUCUACUAAACAAUCUAAUGUUGUCCUUGCUAGCACAUACACUCCCAACAGAGCCGCAAAUAUGUUUUGUAAGAAUUGUAAGCUCUCUGGUCACAAAUUUAGUAACUGUCCUAAAAUAGAGUGCAGGUACUGCCAUAAACAUGGCCACAUUCUGAAUAACUAAGCCUACUUUAUUUACAUUAAUAGUACUAAACCAAAAACCACUCCAAAAUUAAUUUCCAUUCCUACUUGGCUACUUCUAUGACUAGAGAUGUGAACAAAAACCUUGCUUUCCUUUUAUAUACAACAAUUAAUUAUUUAGUUCAUUAUUAUGUAAGGCUAAAGAGAGCAAAACCUCGAUACCAAAUUUACAAACACCAGUAAAUUCUUAUAAAUGAUAGUUUAAAUACAUUCCAACAAACCCCUUUUUUCGAAUUUCUUUUUUUUUAGAAUAAUUAAUUCUUCCCACGCCGAACCCUAACUCUACCUAUGCAAGUGAGGUUCCUCAAUUAACUACUAAUAAAUUAUUUAGGAAUGAUAUGAACUAUGAGAUACAAAUAAUCAAUUAUUCAGAUUAAAUAUUUUUUGUUUUACUAAAGUAUGACAAUCAAUUAUAGGUGGGAGAUUAAAAUUAAGACAUCUAAAGAUAGAAUUGGUGUCAAUUUAAUUGAUUCAAUUUAAUCAAGUUCACUUUAAUCAAUUAUAUAAAAAUUGUUGUAUUCAUUAUACUACUUUAAGUUUGUUGCUAUAUUUGAAAAUGAUUGUUAAAUAAAUCAUGAGAUACUUUAAGAUUUCUUUUUAAUUAUUUUCAUCUUUUAUUACAGUUUCGAAGAAGUGUUUAAACAAUGUGUUUCGUAACACAAAUGUUUCAUAAGUAUCAUGAUUCUACUAUAUGCUAAUUACGAAAUUGUUUUUCUUUCAAUAUAAUUGUUGAAUUAUGUAUUAUAUAUGUCAAAUCAUAAGUAUAAUGAUUCUACUCAUCUAUUGUCCACGCUGAAUGAGAUUGUGAGGGGUGCUGAAAGUAGCCUUAGUUCCUCAACUUUCUAUCUGGUUCUAUCUUGGUGAAUUUUGGUUGGAAGUGUGAUGGACGGAAUAUGACUUAUUUUGAAGCUUUUGAUCAUCAUCUUGUUUGCCCCAUAGCAGCAAAUACAACCCUAUGUUGACAAUAGCUCCACCAAAAAUGCUACACAAGUACAUAUUUACUAAUAAAAAACUUUUAUAUAUAUAUCUAAUAAUCUGAAAACUUAAAAAGAAUUCUUUUACAUCUUUUUCCCUUUUAUCUAAAAGUGAAUAUUUUAAAAUAUAUCAAUUUUAAAAAUCUAUUUUUCUUAAAAGAUUAAAAGCGAAUAUAUCAAAAUCUAUUAAUUUUUUUUGCUUCCAAUAUAAGUUUAUAUUGAAAUUGAGGAUGGAGUAGUUUGUGCUAUAUUUAAGUAUUAUUUUGUUUUGGACAAUAACAAUAGAAAUUGGGUCUUCAAACAUAUACCAUUGUUAUAACUUUUAAAAUUAUAUAAGUUUUAGGAUACAAUUUGUACAUUUAUAUAAGUUUGAGAAUACAAUUUUUACCAUUAAUAGUUUAAAAUAUAUUUGCAACUAUCCAAAUAUGGGGUGAUUAUAUUUGCCCUUUCUACUUUUCAAUACUUUCGACCUGGAAAUCUAUAGAUUGUAUUGAACAAUCUUGACAAUCUAUAGAAAAGGUUGCAACUCACAGCCAUACACCAUUGAAUUAAAACAACCUUAUGUCAUUCCCAACAAAACCUCACAAAAUACUAAAAAAAGAGCCCAAAAACAUGCUAUGUCUUUGCAUAUAAAAUUAAUAAGAGACCAAAGCAAAGAAGGUAAAUUAAGGCAAAGGGUGAAGCAAAUUAAACAAACAAACAUUUUCUAGCAGAGAAAAAAAAAAUGACGGAUUCAAUUCUUAGUCCAAAAGCCACAACUUCUCCCAACAACAUUUUCAUACUCGCCGGGCAGAGCAACAUGGCUGGUCGAGGAGGGGUUUCACUAGAUCCAACCACAGAUAAAAUGGUAUGGGAUGGAUAUAUACCGCUUGAAUGCGAAUCCAACGACUCAAUAUUUCGAUUGAAUGCUGAUAUGGUAUGGGAACAAGCCCAUGAACCACUCCAUUGGGACAUUGAUGUUGUAAAGACCAAUGGGAUUGGACCCGGCAUGGCCUUUGCCAAUGAGCUUUUGGCUAUAGGUGGGAAGAGGAUUGGUGCCAUUGGCCUUGUUCCAUGUGCCAUUGGAGGAUCCCAUUUGAAAGAAUGGGUUAAAGGGACUAAUAGGUAUGAUAAUUUGGUUGAAAGGAUUAGGGCUUCAGAAAAAAAUGGAGGGACAGUUCAAGGAAUUUUGUGGUAUCAAGGAGAGUCUGAUGCUGCUGUUGAAGAAGAAGCUAUGUGUUAUGAAAGAGAGCUCACUAAGUUCUUCAUCGACUUGCGUGCUGACACGAACCAUCCUGAACUACCCAUCAUCUUGGUUUGUUAUUGUUUUUCUUUAACUAAUAUUGAUUAAAUAUAGUCAUGAUUACACAUCAUUUGCUAUAUAGAUUUUAGGAAAAUAACAAUUCCAUUAUUUUAAGAAAACUAAAAUUGUUUUACAUGAUUUGAUAAAUUUUAAGAGUGCAACAACAUAGGUGGAUUACACAAGGGUGGAACCAUGUUGUACUUUUCUAUUUUUAAUGUUUAAAAACAAUAUCUUUAGAAAACAAAAUGCAAUUUUGAUAGAUGGAGAUUGAGUUUACAAUAACAUUCUUGUAAUGAGUUUUAAAAAUAUUACUUGAGGUUUGAACCGAUAAUUUGAUCAUUCAAUUUUUACUAGCUAAAGAAUUGAAAAGUUUUUAUAGCAUUAAAAAUUAUGCUAUGAAAAAUUGUCUUCCUAUAAGGUUGAGAUAUAUAUAUAUAAAAUAAAAAGUUAUUUUUAAUAAAAGAAUAAAAAAUGAAAGACAUGAGUCGAAAUUUAGCCAAACCAAAACUUAAGUGAUUACGAUAUUAAAUUUGAAAACUUCGAUUAUAAAAUGCUACUAAAUUUAAACUUGAUAUAUAUUUUUGCGAUAUCUUAUAUUGAUUUGAAUGCUAAAAAAAUUGGAUACAGGUGAAGCUAGUAACUCAUGAUUUUUUCUUAAGUCCAAAUAUAAGCUUCAAGGAAGAAGUAUGUAAUGCUUUGGAGGCAGUCACACACAGACUACCAAACGUAACAAUGGUGGACGGUCCCAUGGCAGUGGGCAACUUUGACGAUGGGCUGAAUGAAGAUAAAGGUCAUCUCAAUGUUAAAUCUGAAGUCAAAUUAGGCAAAAUGUUUGCUCAUUCCUUUUAUUCAAACUUUGCCCACAACUUCCUUUCCUAAUUAAUUAUGUACCAAUGAAAUGCUCACACUAAUUCAAUCAAUUCAUAAUGCUACUCUAAAACAAUAUCUCUUUUAAUCAUUGUAUUUGGUGGAGUGAAUUUAUUUCAUCCUUCCAACAGAAAUGAUGUGGAUGCGGAUGUAUAUCUGACUCGACUUAAAGGUGAAAGUUUGAUUUUUCAUUUAUGUAAUCAUAAAAAGUUAAUUUUAAUAUUAAAAUUUUAUAUUCUUAUAUUUGUAGCAUGCAGUGAAAUUUAAUCUAUACCAACAUAUACCAAUAUGAUAUAAAUGGAUAUAUGUUGUAGUUAAGUUAGCAAUUGGGGUUUUUUCAACAUUUUUAUGGCUUAGUGUAUAGUUUUGUUGGUUGAAACUGGUAUGUGCAAGUUUAUAUUGGUUAUCUAUAUUUUAGAAAAUUGAAAGUUUAGUGCAAUGCCUGGAUACACACCUAAAUUAAAUUUGUAAAGACCAAUUAAUAUUUCAAAGUUUGACCUAUAUUAUUUGAUACACAAUUAAAAUUUCUAGAACUUAUUUAGCACAUUUCAUUUUACUAAAUGAAUUUUAUAAUUCAAAAAAAAAAAAAAAAAUCAAAUGUGAAAAAUCACAAUAACUAGAGUAAUAUUUGGUUUUUAUAAUAAUUUUGGAAUAAAGUUAACAACGGGAGUUGAGUCAAUAAAAUAUUGAUAAAUGGGCAAGCAACAAUGCCUAGAGAUGAAAUAAGCUUGGAGAGAAUGAUUGACUUGAUCCAAGAUGAAGUUACCAUUGAUCCCACCCUCUACUAAAAUCUAGACCUAAUCUACCAUAUCAUGUAACUCAUUCAUGAUUCGACUCAACAAAAAUUUAGAAGAGAUCUUUAACUCGGCCCAAAGCCAAAUUAAUCCACUCCACUUCGAUGAGUCCACCAAAUCUUGUUCUCAUGUGAUUAUAAUCCAACAACAAAAAAAAAAAAAGGAUGGAUGUGUGAACAUCAAUAAAAUCUAACUGGAGAAAAUAUAGGUGAUCCAACCUUGUAAAAAUGCAAGUAAAAUGACUUAAGAGAUAAGUUGAGUCCACGGGAGAUCGAUAACAAAAUUUAUCUUUAGACUUUCUAAUUGAAACAUCAAAGUGUACGUGUAAGUUAGUUGGUUGUUUGUAUAUAUUGUUAUUCACAUAUCCACCUUAUGCAUGUAUGUUAGGUACAAUUAGCAUAAUCACAUGUGGAAAAAAACCAUAUUAUUUUGAAAAAGAAUCCAUCACAUGUUAAAAUGUGAUGAUGUGAUUAGAGGAGAGAAUUGAAAAAGUUGAGAGUGGAAAAACAAAUAAUAUUAAUUGUUAUUCUUAAAAGAAACAAUAUUAAUAUUUAUCUAAAAAGAAAAGAAACAGCAAUCAUUAUUACUUUCUAGGAUUACAGCUAAAAUGAAAGAGGGAGUUGGAAUUAAAAAAAUUGAUAUCGUAAUUAAAAGGAAAGGGAAGGGUAUUUACGUAAAUUGAAUAAACAUUCUCCUUUUCACACCUCAGGCCUUUCCGGACCCUAUCCAUUUCCAUUAUGGAAGCCUUUAAAUAUUAAAUUCCAAAAAUAGAAAUAUUUUAUUAAAAAAACUUCAUCUGAAAUUCGUUAAUUUGGUUUCGCCCUUAAAUUUCAAACCUUAAUGACCACAUUACCCUCUAUCUUCACCCCAAAUACCCAACCACUCCAUCUUCUUCCUCAAGAUUCUAUCAACAGUCAAAGAUCCUCUCUACUGAUCAAUAAAUAUUCCUAAUCUCAUUUCUCUACUUCCUUUCUCCUCCAAUUUUCCCUCUCUCGCUCUCUUUCCCAUGGCCUUCCCUCGUCUUCCUUGAUUCCAUGGCGGAUAUGGAUUUUGUUGAAGGCGUUGGUGAGAGUUCUUCGCCGCCUCGAAGCUUUGCUGCUGGAUUCUGUCCUGCCCACGAUGUUCGGAACGAUGUUUAUACUAGGUUGGUUGAGUGUGGACAUGAGGAGGCUGUUUCUAAUCCUCAAUUUCGCGAGAACUUGGAUGCUCACUUCAAUCGUUUGCCUCCGAGGUAGUUUAUUCUGCUUUUCUUUUAUUGUAAUUUGGAUUUUGGGCUUUUUCAUUCUUUUCUUUUUUUUUUUUUUGCUACUUUUCUAUUGUGCUUUUGUGUUUCAUUUUGAGCUGGUGUAAUCGAGUGAGGGUAUAUGCAUUUUGCAUCCUUGCUUUAUUUGAUUUUCGAUCUUUUUCCUGGGAUUUUGUAGUGGGUAGUGUUUGUCUAACUGUAUUAGGAAGCUGAUUUUGGUGGAUUACUUUUAUGGGGAAUUUUCCUUUCUAUUACUUGUCUGUCAUAAUCCUAUUGCUUCUGCUUAAUCUAUAUGUUGUUUUCUAAUGUUGGGAAAGUUCAUUUGGUAACGGGUUCCUUUUCAUUUUUCUGUUUUUGAAAUUUAGUUGGGUCUCUGUAUGUUUAAUCUUUUGUUUGUUUGUUUUUCUGUUUUUUUUUUUUUAAAUAGAAAAUACUUUUUGAGUAUUGGUCAUCACGUUUUGAGAACGAAGAACAUAUUCUUUUUUAUUUUCUAUUUUUUAGUUUUAAAAUUUAGGUCAAAUUUGAAAAUUGUGUUCAGAAAGGAAAUGACUUAAUUUCUUUUUUAAGAAAUCAUUGUUAGACAGCAUUUGUUAAUUUUGGAUUGACUAAACUUGUUGGGAGUAAGGUUGAACUUACCAGUUUAACAACUCACUGUUUAAAUACUACCUACUUAUAGCAAAUAUUCAAAUAAAAAAAGAAUACUACCAGCUUAGAAGGAACGAACAAUGGCGUAGUGAUAUGUUUGGAAGCAAGAGUUUAUGCAUGAUUUGAUUAAAGGCUGAUAAUUGAUAUGGCUAGUGGGAAACAAUAUUCUCAAAACAUGCUUCAACUGCUGGCUGUAGAAUAGAAUAUUAUUGAAAAUGAAUUACAAAUCUAUUGAUAUUCAAGUUAACAAAAUCUUCUUAUCUUACAUGAAUGCUAUGAAGUGGGAGAUGCUAAAAGUUGAACUGCAGAAUUUAGAAUUUAGAACUAUGUAAAAUGGGUUCAUAUCAACAUAACUUUAGUGCAAUGAUGUAUGAGUUUCUCCUCAUUCCGCCUCAUGGGGAGAAGGGCUACUUUUUAUGGUUAGCUGGCGUGUGUGUGAUCUUGUGGGUUUUGUGGGUGAGCAGAGUAGUAGGAUUUUUAGAGGGGUGGAUAAGGACCUAGUGAGUUUUGGUCCCUUGUCCGCUUUAAUGUUUCUUUGUGGAUUUUGGUUUUGAAUAUCUUUUGUAACUCUUCUAUAGGAGUUAUUUUGGAUAGUUGAAGUCCCUUCUUGGAGGGAUAGAUGCCUUUUUGUGGGUUGAGUUUCUUGUAUGCCCAGUGCAUUCUUUCAGUUUUUUCCAAUGGAAGUUAUUGUUUUUAUAAAAAAACGUUUAAUCUAUAUUUAUCUGAACCAACGAGUAUCAAUCAGGAUUCUUAUACAUAAUCUUCUCAAUAGUUCUCAAAUGGAGUUGCAUGCUUGAGUGGUUUUGUUUUCAUAAAUGGUGAGAUAGCGUUCUUCCUUCCUACCUAUUCAGUGGUCACGGAGAGACAUUUGAUUUUAAAUGGUGUCACUUCUUGACUUGAAAAGGAAGUACUUAGGCUUAUCCUAACACCUAGAUAGACAAACAUACGGAAGCUACUUAACUACUAGGCUUAGAAAAAAGCUCACUCUAUGAGCAAGGAACAACCUAAAGGAAUCUUUGUAAGGAUCACUGAACUCUUGCUUGGGCCAUGAAAGAACGUUAGGUAAAGAGGUGCUGCCAUCUGCUUGAUCGUCCUAUUCAUCCAACGGAUUUUGUUCUAUUGCUGUUAUUAAAAAAAAAUCUAUGAUAACUAAAGGUCAAAUACUUUUCAGAUUGAUGUUACAGCUUUUCUUUAGAAAGUGAUGCACGUCUGUGUAAAGUAUCUUAUCAAGUAUUUGAUUGGAGACAUAGGGAACAGAUUAAGGAAAAAUAAAAAGUUGAUGGUCAGCUUCUUUGCUAUCAUAUCCCUGGUUAAAUACCUGCAAACUUUUUUGUAGUACUUGUGGCUUAAAAGGAAUGAUAGAAUCACUGUACAUAAGUAUCAGGACUUGGUCGUAUUGUAGAAUUAAGUCAGUUUCAUUGUGUCAUCUCAGGUUUUUUUGGAUAAGAAAUCUACUAAUCUUUUUUUUUUCUGUCGAGAAAAAAAAAGGAAAUCUACUAACUUUAUCAAUGACCACUUGAAGUUCUUUUUUUUUCUUGUAGUUAUGUAGUUUUAAAUUUUAAUCAUGUAACUUGGGUUUGGUUGUUGCCUUUACCUUUACCUUUACCUUUACCUUUACCUCCUAUUUGGUGUAUCUAUUUUAGAUUGUGUUUUUAAUAGGAAAAUAAAAGAUGGAUUUCUUAAUGGUGGGUGAGUGUCUAAGUAGUAUAGCAUGUUAAACUCACAUAGCUAGACUAUAUCAUCAGCUAGGGAUGGUCUACUCAUUCUUCUUGAUUUAUUAACUUUUUGGUUCUUGAUAAUUAUUCUGUCAGUUACGGACUUGAUGUUAACAUGGAGAAGGUGGAAGAUGUUUUGUUACAUCAAAAGCUUCUUUCCCUAGCAAAGGAUCCAGAGAAGUGCCCUGUUUACCACAUUCGUUUUCUUGAGGUAUUUUUUGUAUUUCAUUUGUACAAUUUUUAGAGGUAACUAAUGGGCAAUGUUGCUUGGUUCUAAACAUUCUUAUAGUUUUUUGCUUAGAGUGUGAUUAUGCCAAACUUAUGGUGGAAAACAUAUAACCUGAGGCAAAAAUUAGAAAAAUGGCUUGCUGAAAGAGAGAGAUAUUAUCAGUUUCCUAUUGAUGACUAGUUAGAGAGGGGUGACAAUUUGGAAUUACUGUAUAUGAGGUCAUAACCAUCAGUGCUGAAGGUAGAACUUCCUAAUAUCAGAGGGAAAAAACUGAGGACGGCGCAUUGCUACAAACUGCAUCAAAUUGCCAUGGGUGGCACCUGGAGGGUAGGAAUGAUAUUCUGCUUGUUAAAUAUAGUCCUCCCCAGCCCCUGAAUCUUUUCGAAUGGCCGAUAAAAAAUGAAUUUAGAAUGUGUUUGUAUGGAUUUAUAGCAAUAUGGUUGCACAAAAGAAAGUCAGAUGGUAUACUAAAGCAAUCGAGACAAUAUAUUAUUUGACAAUAGUUUAUAUAAUUUCCUGUUAUUGAUUGUUAUAAGCAGCUUUAUUAAUUAGUGCUUGCAUUAAUGUACUUAAUAAUUUUUUCUCUUUCAAUGGCUUUUUGCCUUUGUUCUUUUUCCUCAUGUGGUAAAAUAGAUCUAACAAUAAUUUUUGCCCAAGGACAAUGAAAAUAAUUUUUUGGGAUCUUGAAAUCUUUGCAUUAGAAAAAUAGCAGCUGUUUGCAUCUUCUUGGGGUUCUCUUUCUCCUUUCAUCUUGAAGAUUUGGGUGUUCAAGAUUUUAGAUUUGAGUGGGAUCUUUGAGAGAGCAAUUAAGUUCUGCUUCGGCUUCAGCUUUCUGCUGCCGUAAUGUCUUUGAGUGGCUUUGUUGAGAUCGUUAUUUUUCUUUUUAUGUUCGUUUUUAGGUUGCCUUCAUAUUUAUGUUGUCUGAGUAUAGUCUUUGUUUUAGUUUUCGUCUUUAUUUUCCCUUAGUUUCUUUUGCUAUUAGUAUAAUACUCUUGUACUUUGAGGUUUAGUCUCAUUUAUUAUCUUUAACAAGGAGGCUUGUUUCUGUUAAAAAAAAAAGUAAUCUUUGUAUUAUGUUAUGCCAUUUGACUUGGGAGGAGCUAGAGAAUUUUUGAAAAUAGAAAUGAGGAUGUUGAGGAUAGUUGUGAUUUUAAUAGUUUGUGGUUUGAAAUAUUGAUAGGAAGUUUUUGUAUUUUGCUUCUUCAUAUGUCUCGUUGUAGUUAGAUACACAAUUGUUGUGCAACAUUUCGUAAUGAUUGCUUAUAACUCUGUAAGUCUAUGACUUCUCUCUUAUCAGAAGAUUAUUCAAUUGUAUUAAAUAGAGUUCUAUGUUGUUUGUAUAAACUUUGUUUUAGUGGCGGAGGUUUUAUUGCUCUACAUUUUUCUUGUUGAUUUUGUAGCACAUAAGUACUAAGUCAGAUGGCAAUGAUGAUCACGUUUUUCUUGAUAGUAUUCUUUUAAGUGGUUCAUCUAAUGAAGCAGCCGAUAGAAGGCUUCCAUUGUCACACAAAAGGUAAUUAUUGGGCCUAUUGCAUUUUCAUUAUUAGCCUAACCCCUUAGGUUUCUUUCUGCACAUAGUUGAUUUGUGGUAAUUGAUUUCUUAAUCAUUGGGUUGUAGAACUCGAGGAAAUAUAAUUGACUUUGAGGCUUGUUCCAAGCUUGAGGGCUUAAAUUUGGAUGUUAGAAAAAACUCGAAGCCCAUGGAUAGGAGGUACGAUUUGGAGAUUUUUUUCGAAAGCUAUGAUUAACACAUGUAUUUGCAUUGACUAUUUUUGUGGACGGGGAUGUAUUAUUUGGAAUUUUUUUUCGAAAGUUAUGAUUAACACGUGUAUUUGCAUAGACUAUUUUUGUGGCUUUACAAAUUAUUGUAGUUCCCGUCAGGGUUCAAAUUUUUGACAUGUUGGCUGGCUAUAACUAGGUACUAAGAUGUUUUCUAAAAGUACAAUGCAGGCCUGGUAAUAUUGGACAUGUUCUGAUACACGAAGUGAUAUUUUCAACGGUUGACAAGCCAAAGCUUCUUAGCCAGGUAGGCUGGAAUGGUUAUUUUUUUUUAUAUUUGAUAGUAUCUACAUGAAUGUCUUGGGAAGGCAAAAGUUGCCAAAACGUUCAUAGUCUAGCAUGCUCAUUGAAGUCUUGUUCUUAUGCUUCUAUCUAAUGGAACUUAUGUAUACAAAGGCCAGCAUUCUAUUGUAUGUUUAGCAUUCUCACUAGUUUAUGGUAAUCAACAAUUCUUAGAAGAUGGCUUUAAAGGAACAACAGAACGUUUAAUGAGGGCAGAAACUUUUGGAUUGUUUGAUAGUAUUUUUUUUUCUUUUUUUAUCAGUUUUAGUCGCUGCAUUAAUUUGAUGUAUUAUUCUCUCUUUUGAGCAAGUAGAGUCUAAUUGAUCUUUUGGCAAAUUGAAUACAUCAUUUUUAUUUCAGUAAGAAACCUUUUUAUUUAAAGAAUGAAAUACACCAGUUGAAGUCCUUUGUUCAACUGAAGGGGUUAGAUAAUGAAAUAUAUAUAUUGAAAAAGCAAUAUAAUAUAAGAAGGGGAAUACCAUUUGUAUAUAUGUAUAGACAGGAAGGGGAGUAGUUAUAAAAAUCCGUUGAUCCUAGGAAAAGAAGUAACAAAAAGAUAAUAGUGACCUAAAUUUCAUGGGACCCUUUCUUACUGUGCUGAAAGAUUUCUAUUCCUGUAUAAUUAAAAAUUCUCAUAAAAGUGCCCCUUACAGCAGUUAACCACAGACAAGGAGUUAUUCUAACAAACAUAGAAAACAUCAGUAAAUGCAUUGAAUUGAUCUUGAAAAUUAACUGUACACAAACUGAGAGCUAGAAGUUUGUAUCAGGGAUAAGACAGUUAAUGAACAACCUAUCGUGGGGCAAUUAAUACUCAUACUAGGUGUUGAGAAUAAUUGAUCAUCUUUCCUUUUCAUUUGCUCAUGUCAGUUGGUCAUUAUUAUGAAAGUAUCAGUAUGGGAGAAUUCACACUGGCUUUUUGUUUGUGUAGAUUAGAGAUAUUUCAUUGAUAAAAAAAUUCACACUGGCUUUUCUAACGACUUAUCAGUUUUUUUCCUAGCUUUCUGCUUUGCUUUCUGAUAUAGGACUUAACAUUCGAGAAGCACAUGUAUUUUCAACAACUGAUGGUUACUCCUUGGAUGUAUUUGUGGUGGAUGGAUGGCCUAUUGAGGUACUGUAUUGUGAUAUAUGCUAAAUAUAUAUUUUGCUGUUUCUACUGCUGUGCUGCCCUGUUUUUCAUAUUUUCUGUUCUUGUUAGAUUAGUUAUUAAUUUUUUUAGGUUUAGGGCCUACCAUUGAACUGGUAUUAUAUACAAUUAUCUUAUGAAAUGAUUGGAAGAUCUAAAAUAUCUUUGCCAUUUGGCUCAAAAUUUCCCUCUUCGUUUGCUUAUUGCAUGUUCCUAACUUCAUGUUAUGUCACUCUCUGUUCAUAACAAUAAAGGUAGUUUGAUGAACUGUAAAUUUACUCUGAAUUCUCUCUAUUAUUUAGUUGGCCUUUCAAGUUGCAUAUGUAUGCAGCAUCCACCCCAAAAGUAAUCCACAUUUGAAUGUUGGGAUUGGAGUGCUACUGCUUGCUCAACUGGUUCUCUUGUCUUCCAACCUGUCUAUUUUAAAUCAAGACAUAGAAACCUGUACGAGAUUUUUCGUUAUGACGUUUAGCAAAGAUUCUUCACAUUUUGCAUCUGUAUCUAAGGAUUUUAAAUGGAAAAUUGUAUCAGUUGGGUUACUUAUAAGAAAUUAUGUAUUAUCCCAGGUCAGCAACCUUCUAAUAUUAUAAGGAGGGAUCUGUAUUAUGUAUCUUUUGUAUCAGGAUUGUGUUAAGUCUAUAUGUUGCUGAUUUUGCAAUCUGGUGACCAGGAAACUGAUGGCUUGUACGAAGCUAUGGAAAAAGCAGUGGCUAGAUAUGAGGUAAAUUGCGUUUUUUUUGACACGAUUCUUUAUGAAAGAUAUUGAAUGAAAUGUCAUUACCUAAUUUAUAAUUCCCAGAUAAUUUUGCAGCAUUUACUAAUUGUUAUUAUUUUUGUUUUCUUUGUCAUAAACAAAUUUGAGUCCUUUGUUUUCAAUUGUCUAUGGUUGAAGACGUUUUAAAUUCUCAUGUUCACCCCCUUCUCCCUUUGCAAAGUGAUAGAAUAUGAAGGAAACAAUGCAACUUCUUUCAUGGAAUGCAGGGAUCGUGGUCUGGGUCUUCACAUUCUCAUCCAGUGGUCAAGAAGACAUUAGACGCCCAGGUAAAAUCAGCAGAUUGGGAAAUAGAUAGACGGUUACUGAAGAUAGGUGAAAGAAUUGCAUCAGGAUCUUGUGGUGAUUUGUAAGUUUCAACUGAAAGUACACUUUUCUUUGACCAUGUCUUGAACGGUAUAGCAUCUGGAUCUUAUUAGGAAGCUUACAGAUAUAGCAUCUGAACUUGUUACAUUAGCUUCUCGUUGAUAUAUUCUGAGUUGAAGUUUCAUAUUGUCCCCAACCGAGCAAUAAAAUCAAGUGACCUUUGCCAUUCAUAGCAAUGUCGUUCACAAUAUGAUAUGUUUGAUCGCUCGUUAUUUAUUUGUUCUCUGAAUACUACAGUCCCUUCUUUAAUAUUGCAACUAUGCAUGUUACCAUGUGAUUCAUUUUUCUUUCUCAUCCCCAGGUACCAUGGAUUUUAUCUUGGUCAAGAUGUAGCUGUCAAGAUAUUAAGGUCUGAAGAUCUAAAUGCUGAUUUAGAGGAUGAGUUCAAUCAAGAAGUGACUAUUCUCAGGUAAUUUUGAUAUGUGAUAAAAUUACUUCUUCAUAAAACAAUUAUAUUUGAGUUUGGGGUAUGAAAGCAGGGAACACUGUUUCCUAUCAUCGUUAAAAAAAAAAAAAGAAAAAAUAACCCAUAGGGAUUAGGGGGUGGAAAAUGUAAAAUAUUGAUAUUUAUCUUUCCAUUAUCAUACUGUAAGUUAAGGAAUCCACUGAUCAUUUUUCCGGAGGAUGCCGUGUACAGACGACAAUCAUUUUUAUUGUUUAUUUAUGGCUAAGUUUUUCUCACAAACUUCUACCUCUUGAUAGUUUAUUUAAUGUAAUCAUGCAGAACACCUGCACAGUUUCAGCUUGAAAAUGUACUUGCUAAGAAUUGCACAUUUUUAACUGUGAUCUUGCGGGUAGAUCAUAUGAAAUAUCUUUCUUUUUCUUUUGAUUCUAUAGGAGAUUGUGUUUGGAUACUUUACAUAUAGGGGACCUUCAAUUGAGAAGGAGUUCUGGAAAUUAGUCCAUGUUCAAUUCAUUAAUAAAAAAUGAACCUACACGCCUGAAAGUGAAAGUACAAAUAUUAUGCUUACCAAUUUCCUUGAUCCAAACAUCGUCAUAGAUUAAAAUACAUUCUUACCAAAAGGAUCUUCUGGCAAACAACGGUGUUUAGUAGCUGCAGAUUCGAAAUCUUCAAUUUCCUGGAACUGUUUCGAUACUUCACAUUUUCCCCACUCCAUCGAUAAUGAUUUUCUUUUAUUUCCACAUUUGUGAAGGAAUAAUUUCCAGAGUUUAUGUUUUAUAAUCAAUUUGUUAUAGGUGUAUCUACCGCCAUACAUCCUUUGUGAAGGGAUCUUAAUUAAUCUGAAAUGCAGGAAGGUCCAGCACAAAAAUAUAGUUCGUUUUGUAGGUGCUUGUACAAGCUCCCCACAUUUGUGUAUUGUAACAGGUACAUAAAUCUCUACUUUCAUCUUUAAUUUUGUCUCCUUUUCCUUCAUCAGUUCUUGGUUAGUUUCUUGUAGGAUCUUCUUCUGUAGUUUACAUAUAUAUCCUGAUAGAUGUUUGCUUGGUUCGAACAAGAGUUGUGUGCAGAAUAACACAAUUCCGCAUCAAUAAAAGAUUGACAGUCAAGUGAAGCUCUUUUAACUUUAUGUUCUAGUGUAAGGUUUUGAUGGAGGUCAACUUUGUUACCAGAAAUAGUUACGUUCCUGAGACUUAGUUGGCUGUUGUCUGACCUUUUCCGGACAUUAUUUUUCGUCAAUAGAUACAAAUACUAACUCUUCCUCAUGCAUGACGUAAUGUGAAUUUUCAUGACUUUUUUCUUAAAAGAAAAAAGAAAUUUGUUUUACCACAAAUUGUUGGUUUCGGAUAAGAUAAUAAGUCUUUUAAAAUUUGUUUUAGGAUGAAGAUAAGCCUGUAGAUAACAUGUUUCAGAGGGAUUGAAAGGGAUCUGGUUGAUGUUUGGUCCCUUGUGAAUUUUAAUUUAUAAUGUUUCUCUGGGUUUUGGUGUUGACUGACGAGCCCCUUUAUUCUAUAGUUCACAUUCAGUUAGAUUGGCGGCUGUUUCUUUAGGGUGCUCCCCUUUUGUGGGCUUUGUUGUUUUUGUAUGUCCUUAUAUUUUUCAUUUUUCUUUUCAAUAAAAGUUAGUUUUUUUUGUAUAAAAAAAUGUUUUUGUUGAUAAAUGAAACAUACAAAAGGGCAAAACCCAAAAAGCUAAACAAGUUAAAUAGAAGGUAUCUUGUAGGAAUGAUUAUGGUAAGGGUGGGUAGUUACGAAAAUAUAAAGAUAAAGACUGCGAUAAAGACAUGAAGGUAAUGAGUUUCUCUUUAGAUUUGAGUUAUUUAGUAUGGGCUAUUAUGUGGGAUAGCCAGAGUUCGUAGUGUUUCUAGAUAUAAAUAACAAGCGAAGGUGGUGAGGUUGAUAUAGGAUUUCCCCCCCUCUUUUCUGGUGAAAAUGUUACUGACCCGAUUUUUGGAAUACAAGAUAAAAUAAAAUAAAUUAAUCCCCCCCACACCAUAAAGUAAUUCAUAAUCAAUUGAAUUAGUUUCCCAAAACUAAUUAGAUUAAUUUAUAGGGAUCCACUUCCCAACUAAUUGAAUUACAGAAACAAAGAAAAUACUCAAUGACUAUGAUGAAAGAUCACUAAUCUGUUUAGCAAACUGAGUUUGGCGUAGAUCGAUCAAAAGUAGUGUGUGGAGUAGGAGUCACAAUUUUGGAGUAAUUUUUUAUUUUUAUUUUUUAAAUUUAAACCAAGUGACAUUGAAUUUUUUUUUUUUUAUUCAGGGCAAAGUUUGGGGGUAGUUUCUAGCAAUAAUGCAAACUUAUCGAAGCUUUAUUGCAUUUCUAUAUCUCCAUCUGCAUUUAUACCAGAAAUGCCUUAUUUGAUAUGCAUUUUGGAUUAGAAUUUGGUCAUUAAAUUCACUUUCUUCUGUAGUCCUGUUUUUUGGAUUUAUGUUCCAUCUAUAUUGUUCAAGUACAAAAUUUAAGUUUAGUUGUUUCUUGCAGAGUAUAUGCCAGGAGGGAGUCUUUAUGAUUACUUGCACAAGAAUCAUUGCGUGCUGAAGCUCUUGCAACUGCUGAAGUUUUCUAUUGAUGUUUGUGAAGGAAUGGAGUACUUACAUUUAAAUAACAUUAUUCAUAGGGACUUGAAGACAGCAAAUCUGCUAAUGGACACUCAACAGGUAAGAUUGGAACAUUAUAUUACUGGAAUCAGCUGGUGAAGUGUAGUAGUGUAGGUAUCUUAAACGAUUAUUUUUACAUCAAACUACUUUUAUAUGAAUUAGGUUUUGGAAGAUAACAGAAAAUAUAUUGGAAAGUUGUUUUGGGGUUGGAAGGAGUCAUUCCAUACCUUAGAUAAAGGGAAAAAGAAAUAAAAUUAACCAUACUGAAAUAGCUAUGCAAACGAGAUAUAACACUAAACUCUAAUGUGAUCAUUUAGCCCAUGGGAUGUACCAAUUCACUCUACUAUCAACAAUUAAUAGUCACUGUUGCCCUGUGCUGACUGAAGAAGUCAAUAUAUUAAUUUGGUGUGAUGUUGUUCUCUAUGAAAUAUAUGUGAAGCUGUCUUCAUAUCUACCUGUUUCUUUGGAGUGUGAACUGGCCAAGUUAUAUGAUGAAAAAAAUAUUGAGCAGUUAGUCCCUAGUAAAGUUCACAGUACAAAAGAGAUGAUAGGAUUUCUAGUCAGGUAUAGCUCUCGUGGUCAUGCUCCUGUUCUUUUGAAUUGGUGUUUUGUACCUAAUUAGAUACAUAACAUGUGUGAUGGACUUUUUUAGUAGUGGAUCCUCUGGCUGUUCUGAUAAUUUCUUUCACUAUUACAGUGGUUGAAUACACUUGUUACUUCAAAAUAGUCAAUGUUGGAUUUUUGAAGUAGGAUUUGUAUGUGUUUUCUGAGUUCAUUUAUUCUCUUGUUAAAAGAUGUUACUGUCAACAUCUAAAGGGAGCCGAAAUUAGGAAGUCUUUUUCUCCAACACUUCCACAUUAUGUUCUUCAUCAUAAAUUUUGUUCAGUGGUAAAUCCCACAAUUACUUCUUGUUGACUUAGCUAGUUUCAUCCGAGUGUUUCCUAUGCUUUCAUUUUAUGGACAAUCAAUGGAGACCAAGGAUACAAUCCACACGUCACUUAGCGAUGCGCUUUUAUGAGCUUGCACUAAAAAACAAUUUAAACCCAUUUAUGACUAAAAGACGUAUUCUUUUGCGUUUAAGGUUGUAAAGGUGGCAGAUUUUGGAGUUGCACGAUACCAGAGUCAAGGAGUAAUGACAGCAGAAACUGGAACAUACAGAUGGAUGGCUCCUGAGGUGAUGAAUCAGUCGGAGGAUGUUGGCGAUUUUCUGACGAAUUUAGAGAUUGUAUUCUAGAGUGUUGGCAGCAUUUUAACUGACUUCAAUCUUUUUGCGUUGAUUUUACUUUUCAUCUUCAGGUAAUAAAUCAUCUGCCAUAUGAUCAGAAAGCAGAUAUUUUCAGUUUUGCGAUUGUGUUGUGGGAACUAGUAACAGCAAAGGUAUAUCUCAAGUUGACUACAAUCUACUACAAUGCAACGUCUUUUUCUUUUUGUUUGCUUGCCUGUAUUUCAGAAAGCUAUUAUUGAGCAACCUUAUGUAUAAGAUGAGUACAUACCUUUAUCAUUGUUUUGUUGAUUGCUUAAUAGUAUAUGAUAACCAUUAACCACUACAUGUGGUUAUUCUUUUCACGCAAGCUUUUGGCAUUUCAGGUUCCUUAUGAUUCCAUGACACCAUUACAAGCUGCCCUUGGAGUAAGACAGGUUUGUGUGCUAGUUUUUGGUGCAUUACUAUUUAUGAUUAUUAUUAUGAUUGUUAUUUUAAAAAUUAAGAAACCAAAGCUUUCAUGGAAAGAAUUGAAAGAAUAUACAAGGGCAUAGGAAAAAAUCCAGCACAACAGGAGACUCCAAGAAAUUACCAAAAAAAAGGAACUCCCAUCCAACAAAACUAAAGUAAGGUCAUAGUUACAAAAGACAGACUAGUGCCCACAUUGUACCUUGCCUGCCAUCUCUCAAACCUUCAUCACAUGACCUCUCCACCUCUCCACAUUGAACCUCUUCUUUCCAUAAAAUAGCAAGGGGCUGUUUGGCAACCUCCGUUGAGUUGAAUUGGGUGGGCAAAAAAAUCUCACCCACCAUUUGGCCCAUUGCAAAAGAAAAAAAAAAACAAAAACGAUUGGUUUAUUGGCCCACUGUUUUAUUCUCUCAAUACACCUCUCAUUUCACGUGUUUUCUUUACUCUCCUCCAACUCUCUCAUUUACUCUGUUGUUUCUCUCACUGACUCACCCGUCUCUUCAUAUUACUCCUCUUUUGAUCUCUCUCAUCUUCUCUUUCUUUGUCCAUUUAGCUCGUCCUCCAUCUCCUCUUGUUUGCUUUCCUCAGAUUUCCCCCUUUUGCUCAUAUGAGUUAUUUUUGUCUUUUCAUGUUGAAUCCCUCUUUUAUCUACUUUGUCUAUUUUUCUAGAGUUGUGUCGAUGCUUUUUUUUUUUUUUAUCAGAUUUACUAGAUAAGUAGUUUUUGUAGAUUUGACUACUUUUCUUUUCCACAUUCUUUUUGUUUAGAUUUACAUUUUUGGAGUUUCUAUUCUAAGGUUUGGAUAUAUCUUCUAGCAUUUGGCUGUAUCUGUGCUGAUCACAAAGUUUUUUGUUUUCCCUCCUGAAAAUCUCAGUUGGAUCGAAAAAAUAAAAAGGAAAUUAAAAAAUUUGAAAAUUGGAAAAUGGAAUAUUUGUAGAGGGUUAAAAAUUGAGGGCUACAGAUUGGAGAAAAAUAUUUAUAUCAUGUAAUUGACUAUUCAAAUUUCAAAAAUUGAAUUCAAGAUUUGUGUUCACGAAUUUGUUAUGUUUUAAGAAUAGAAAAAAUGAAGCAUUUUUUAGUGCUAAAUUUUUUGAAAAGUAUAUGUAGAGUUAGGAGAUUAAAAAAAAAUACAAAAUCAAUUUUGUUUUCAAAAACUGUACUAAAUUUCUCACUCUGCUUUGCACCCAAAAUUUAAACUUUAUGAUUCAACUCAGCUCAAAAUACAGAUAAUCUAACUCUCCAGAUAAUCUAAUUUCUCAGAUAAUUUUUAUCAACUCAACUCUAUGUGCCAACAUCCUCUUAAGGUAAGCUAGGUUGCCACUAAAAUUUGUUCCUUCUACCUAUUGCCAUUUGAAGCCAAAGAUAAGCUAAAGUUGUAUGAGAAGAACAAUCUCUUUCUUCCAAUCUGUAGUAGCACCUAUGGACCAAUGAAAAAUGAUGGAACUUAUAAUGCUGCUAUAUGGAUCUUAGUUCGAUGAGAAAAAAAAGGAGGAAAGAUGGGGGCAAUUGGAAAAGAUUGCUGUUAAGUGUAAAAGCAACAUCAAUAUAAAUAAGAUGAAUCGAGUAUAUUAAGAAGAAUGCUCUGUUUAUUUUACUUUUCUUUAGGAUUCCAAAUUUGCGUGGUAUCUAGGAGGAGUCCAAAGCAUUGCUUUAAUUCCCCCUUUAAGGACUAAAAAACACAGUAUUCUCAAGAGUCAAGACUUAUGACUUCGUAAUCUGUUUUCAGGGACUACGUCCAGAUCUUCCCAAAAAUGUUCACCCUAAAUUGUUGGAUAUGAUGCAAAGAUGUUGGGAUGCAGAACCUGUAAAUCGGCCUCCAUUUACCGAGAUAAAAGUUGAACUCAAAAGUCUCCUAGAAGAAGUAGAGGUAUACCUCUUCCCCAUGUCUUUUGAACGGCAUGAAUUAUAUGCUAAAUGCAAACCUUCUAACUUCUAAAUCCCAUGUGUGCUUAGAUGUGUACAAAAUAUGAAGAAAAUUGUGCAGCAGUUAAUGGGAGCUAAUGUAGCUGUGUAGAAGGUGCAAUAUUCAAUUCGGCUUUACCCUGUAUUUUCCGUGAGGAUAUUUAUUUUGUUUUCCACUUUCGGUUCUUCAUAUAGUUACACAAAUAUUGUACAUCUGAGAGAGAAAAAGAAGUAUAGAGGCUGCUCAGUGCGAAAAGAGAGAAGAAAUAGCAUGUUCUCAUUACAAAAAUACUUGACCACGAGGGUGUUUUCAGAAAAUAUAGUAAAAUUAUCUGUUGUUAGCCUUUCGAGUUGUUCAAUGAGUCUCUUUCUUUCCUGUGUCUGUGUAUAUUACAUGCAUAGUUAUUUAGAGGUUGUUUAGGAGGUCUACUGUAUAUCUGACAGAGUGUUGGAAUGAGCAAGGAAUCAAGUGUGUAAAAUGAAAAUGAGACAGUGAAAUAUGAAAAACAGUCAAAAAGAGACUUUGGUUGAAAUUUGUGAUAACAAGAUGAGUUUGGUAUUACAAAUUUGGUGCCUCACCCAAUAAUGCUUAUUCUACCACUUCAUUUAGAGGCCAUUAUAGAAAAUUGGCAGCCUCAUAUAAUCAUUGCUGAAAAGCUUAUAACUAUUAUGAGGUUUACGGAUUCUUUCCGAUUUCUUUGUGCCUUUAUAUAUAAGGAGCUUUAAUUGUGUGUAUGUUUAAAGUAUUAUUAUACAUGCAGGAAUUUGAGUAAACUAUUGUUUAGUAGAAAAAGAAUAGCAGGGAAAGUAGUAUGAAUUUCAUAUGGUAGUUUACAAUUUGGCUGGCAUUCUUUGGUAUAAAGCAAAGGGGCCUAGGAAAAAGCUGGCUGGCUGGCUUGCAAAAGAAGCUUUGAGUUUUCAUGCUUUUAUACGAAGGUCAUAUUUAUUUUUUUAUUUACUAUUAAUUAUAAAAAAUUUAACUUUAAAAAUAAUGCAUACUUUGUUUCAAUUUUUACACUAUAUUUAUCACCAUUACUGCAAUUGGAUUUGACUUCCUAACCAAGCAUUCACUAACAUAUCAUCCUAAAAUUCCUCGUUUAGAUUGCAAAAAGGAAAGACAACCAUUUUUCACUUCAUCGAGAGUUAGUUUCUAUCAAUAUUAGAUUACUGAAAUAAAUAGUUGUAAAUAUAGUAAUUAAAUUUAAAAUAUUCGGAUAUGUAACAUAUAACGAUAUAGCAAAAUUUGUCGAUGAUAGAAACCUAGUAUUACCUAAGGAGAAGUAUUCUACAACUUAUAAUCUUAUUGAUGCACCGUCUUCAAUUAUAACAAAUCUACGGAAGCAAAUUGUUUAGCCUCUUGCUAAGUUUGAAACUUGGUUUACUAUCUCUUCUGAAUUCAGACUCCCCUUGAAUAAGUUUACUCCAGCUAGGCUUUAACGUUAGACUUCCACUAACAAUUAUACCACAUCUUCAAUAAUGUCGAACAUAACAUCAAACACCAAUUAUCACAGUGAAAAUACUGGUAGUUUUUUUUGUUCAAAAGGAAGCCCCACAAUACAGAACAAUUCCACAGAUAUAUGAAUAUUCAGCAAGCUUUACUAGGGUAGACCAAAAGCAAAUAAGGAUAAAAUCCCACAACAAAAGGAAAAUCCCAACCAUCCAAAAACGAAAAUACAAUUAAUAAAAGAAAAUUUUCAAGCCAACCAAGACAAGCUCGAUUUUAGUUGUAUUUCUAUAUUUUGGUGGCAGUUAAUGAAAGAUAAUCUAGAUCUUUAUUGAUUAUAUUUCUGUAACUAAAAGUCCUAGUAUGUUGCAGAACAAUAGUUAGAUGAUUAACAGUCAACAUUAGAAAAACUUAAAAAGACAUUUUGCAGUUUAAAUUAUUAUGAUUAAUACUUGAUGCUUUCUAAUCAAAAGUUUUCCAUCUUAAUUAGCCAAUCAAACUUUUGGUUAUUGUUGGAGCAAUAUCAAAAUGGAAAAACUUUGCAUGUAGAAAGGGAAAUGGGAAAGGUUUAAUUGAAAAUAUGAGAUUGGUUCUUUGAAAAUCUAAGGGGAAAGUAAACAAACUUCUCUUUGAUAAUAUAAAUGGUCCACUUGGUUCUGUUGCAGCCUUGUUGUGCAAGGUUUCCAGUUUCAACUUCUAAGAGAUUGCAAAUGAUUUUUAUGACAAUUGUGGUAAUUGUAGGAUUAUAUAUUUCAUUCAUUACUUCAUAAUUCAACCACUAAACUUUCCCUGAGGUUGCAAACUUUUGAAUCACACCAACUAUACUUACCAAAAGGUAUCGAUGCUUUUGUUAAUCUCAUAUUUGAAACUUACGAUAAUAGAAUCCAUAUUACAACAUUUUUUAAAUUAAAAGUAGUAGUUCUAUUAAUAUCAUUAAAUUUGAUGUAUUCUUAAUCUGCCAAACAAUUGGUUUCAUAAUAUGUUAAUGAACUUUAACAAUUUAUUUUAUCAAUAUUUUCAUGAUUUUUGGAUACAUCUAAGUUUGUGCUAUUAUUGGUGGUAUAAACUUUGAAAUUGUGAAUGAACUAGACUGACAUGUUUUCCAAAAAUCACUUUUUAUUUUUCAUGAUUUGGCGUAACUAAUAAUGCAAAUUGGCUUUAACCAAUUAAAGUUUAUUAUUUCCAUAUUUCCAACUCCACUUUUAAUUAGUACUUUGUUAACCUCAAAACAAAAUCACAAAAAUGAAUUUCUAAGAAAAAUAUGUAUUCCCACUUUCAUCACUUAAAAGUUGAUCAAUGGUCAAAUUUUAGCAAUCUUAGAGAAACAAUUUUGAAAAAAAUGACAUUUCCUUUCUAUUACUUUAUUUUUUCUCAAGAAAUCUUUUAAGUCAUCUAAUUUUGAGGGGAGAAAAAAACUCAGUUUACCAUCAAUGGCGAAUUAUUAUUAUUAUUCUUAUGAAUUUAGUUUUAGCAACAUGGCUAGAAUUGGCAUUCAUAGCACAAGAAGAUGUGAUAUAGAACUUAAAAAAUUAAGCUUCACUAGAUAUCAACAAAAAUAACAAUUUACUAUACCAAAAUCUCAAAUUAGUUAGUCACAAAAUAAAUCAAUCAUUCAUAUAUAAAUAAACACAAUUAACAUGCAUGAUCCCUAUACAAAAUAAUAAAUCGUUUUAUUAAUAGAUGUUUAAAGACAACGAAUUACCUAAAGAAAUCUCUAUCAUAUAAUAUGAUAGUCUUUCUUUUUUCACAAAAACUCUGCAUAGUUCUAAUUUUUAUCACCGAAUAGAUCACAUAUCAUCCGUGCUAGUUGUUUAUCCUUAUAAAUUCAUAACAUCACGUACAUCUUCUUAUCUAAUCGAAUACAAGACUUUACUUUGAUCUCAUUCUCUAACCUAUUAUUAUAAUCAUUUAUUUGUGUGUCAAUGAAAUCGUUAAAGGCCAAACAAAAACAUGAUUUUGUGGACCUAAUUAAAAUCAAAAGCAAAGCUAUGGAAACUUACAGAAAAGAUGCAUAAAAAAUUCGAAUAAAAAAUCUCCCCUAAACACCAUUUUGAGAAUACUUUGAUUGAAAAAAAAAGUAGAGAUGUUACAUCUCUAUUUCAUGCAAGAAGAGAAAGAAGAAAAAAAGGAACAAUUUUAGAAAACAUGGAAAACUAUCAAAGAUUAGCAUCUCAAUGUUGUGUUUUCUUUUGUUUUCUCUUUUACUCUACAAAGUAAACAAUAUUCAAAUGUAGUAAAACAAUAACAACUUUUUCAAUAGACAUACUGUGUUUCCAAAAUUUUGAAGAAUUAUAUAUACUCCAACGCGUCUUGCCAACUUUCUUAAUAUUAUCCAACUUGGAUUCUUCUUCUUGUUUCAUAGUAACAAUUUUCUCUUUUUUCUCUUUUCUAUUUAUUCCUAUAUAUAUAACCUCAAUUGAACAACGUCCUCUAGUACUGUUCACACAACCCUUGAUAGCAUAUAUAUGUAUGUGAACCUAACCCCACUUUUCAACUAUUGCUCACAAAUAUAUACACGAUUGUGACAACUUAACGUUUAGAUGAAUCAAUAUGUCCUCUCUCUUAAAAGAAUCUUCAUCAUCUCAUUCCAUUUCAUGUGUGCCUAAACAUAACCCCUUUGGGUAAAAAUAAUUCAGUGUUAAUUUUUUUUAAAAAAAAUAUCCCUUUUGUGUCUCCUAAUCUUCAUUUAUGUUAAGUUAGGAAGAUGGUGUAAGAUAAAAUGUACUAUGUUUAGAGAGUGAAAAACAAAAUGCAACCUACUUUUUUAUAAAAGAAAAAACCUAACUAAAACCCUUAACAUAAAAGAAAAUCAAUGAUUAACUAUAAUAGAUAGUAAAUGAUAGAGAAAGGUUAGAAGUUUAAACAAUGCACCAAACACUUUUGAAAUACAGUGAAUGAAAAAGAAUUUGAGCAACACAUCUUGAAAGACUUCAUAUUUUUUGGGAAUGCAUUUAUGAAAGAUUGACGAGGAAAGGAUGUUAAGUUUAGAAAAGUUGAGUAAGAUUAUAGAGAGUGUCAAAUUUGACUAUAUAUAAAAAGAUAGAAGAGAAAGAGUUUAUUAAAUACGACAAGAGAUGAUUUUGAUGAAAACGUGUGGGGUUGGGAGAGAGAGUAGAUUUUUACUACAAAUUCAAACUCAUUUUUUUAUGAAGAGAGAAUCCAAAAAGAUGGCUUUUUUAAAAUGAAGAAAAAAGAAGCAAAGUCUACACACAACUUGGUACUCUUACUAAUACUCAUAUGCUGGACAUUGUGUUCAUUUCUUCCAUUUUGCUAUAUCUAUAUCACAUCCCUACUCUUUCCUUUUUAUUAUUAUCGUAAUCUAAUUUCAAAACAAAGUAGAUUUAGAGGAACAUUACACUAAUGUUAACAUCGACCUCCAAAACAAUAAUGCAUUCUUUGAUAAAACCUUGAUACUAAGGUUAAGAUUAUUUUUCUAUAAAAGAUACUAUUUUGUCUUUAAAAUUUGGGUUUAGUUUUCAACUUGCUCCGUAGAUUUUAAAAUGAAAACUACUGUAAACGAUAAUACCGUUAAAAAUAUUUACAAAUAUAGCAACCUUUUAAAAUCUAUACACGGAUGGAAAUGUAUCAAUGUCUAUCGUGAUUUGAUAAACUGUGAUUUUUUUUGCUACAAUAGUAAAUAUAUUUUAAGCAUCUUGACCUUUAAAAUAAAAUUUUUAUUUAUUAUAUUUAAAAAUAUUCUACACCAAUAAAAUGUUAAAUUAUCUUUUAAUUUUUGUUUAGAGUUGAAAUUAAUUGAGAGGGUAUGGUAUGAUUAAGUUGGUGGCUUCUACGCGCAUUCACCUAACUUUAGAUUCAUCUUUACCCUUUUUGUAUAUCUUCAAUUACUUUGACAUUUUUGUUUUCUUAUUAUUCAAAAGUUUUUAGAAUAAUCCUUUUUUUAUUGGGUGUAAAAGGAAGAACACAACACAUCUUUCUGUCCAUCUUCUUUGUCCAUUAUUCUAAAAGAUUUGAUUCCAUUUUCCAUGAAUUCUCAUACUUUUUCCUUGCAUUAUUAAGCUUUCAAUUACAACAAUAACCAUCCAUUUAUUAUUAUUAUUAUUAUUAUUUUCAUUUAAGUCUAUUUGAUUCUAAAUUUUUAAAAAUAUUUUAUAUAUUCAAAGGUCGGAGAUUUAUUGAAAUGCUUUGAAUUCUCGCCGUAUGAACGAUCUAGCUUGCAACACCACCAAGUCUCACCUCAUUCUUAAAAGCAUAUUAACAUGACUAAAAUGUUUUCAUUCUCCCAUAUUAUAAGAUAUUUUUUCAUGUUCAAUCCAUUGAAAUACUAAGUUAUAACUAUAAGUCGCUAUGUCAAUGGACGGUCCUAUCAAAUAUACAUCCAAACAGAGUAAGACAAGAGAAGAAGAAGAAAAAAGGUUUACUCCUUACCAUGAUGGAUUUAUUUGUCCCAUGAUAGGUGAAGACUUGUUGAAGAUCAAACAAAAUUUGAAUUCAUUCUAAUUAACUUUGUUUUCUCAUAAUAUUUCCUUUUUUGUUUUGUUCCCAGUGGAGUCAGCAAAAGUACACAGGUGAAAAAUUCACACUUGCUAAUAUAAUCAUUUAAGGUGCAAAGUAGAUUCUUAUUGUCGAUAUGUGUUAUAAUAAUUUGUGUGUUACUACAAUCUAUGUGUAGAUGCAGAUCCUUAUAGAGUUUGAUUUAUAAUAGUAUACAUAUUUGAGGUGUUGAUUAUUUUAAUAUAUUUUAUAAUACUAUGUAUAUUGAUUGCAUAUUACUAUAGCCAGAAACAUAACGGUAUGUAAAUUAAAUGUAAGUUAUUUUAGAUCAUGUAUAAUUUUUGUAUGAUUUUUUUAUCAUACAAAUAAUUAUGUAUGUGAAAUAUUAUUUUUUCAAAAUAUAAUUAAAACUAUAGUUCUUUAUACCAAAUUAAUUGAAUUUUAAUUUAUGUUAAAAAAAAUUAUGUAUUGUUUUGCCAUUUAUGGAGAUACUUUAGUUAACUCAUAAUGGUAUAAUUAAAAUAUUAUAACAAAGAUGACAAACAAAAAAAAUAUUUCAAACUUAGUUUUCUUAUUUUCAUUUUUUUCUUUUUCUAGAUCAUUUUUAUUUAUCGUUUUCUAAUUAUUACUAAACAGGUUUGAUUCAUUCUCUUGAAAGUUUCAACUCAACAUAAAAUAUGUAGAGUUUGUUUUAAAAACAGAUGAUUAUACGUUUGACUGAAUUGUCAUGAAUAACUUCAAGUUAUACACUCAUGAUUUUUCUUUUUGUUAAAUUACAAAAGUACUUCCUUUAACUUUCUCAUUUGGAAGAAAAAUGAAUAUUUAUUUUCUUCUUAAAUUAACUUCAAUACCAUUGAAAUUCUCACUAGUUCUAGUCUUCUAGAUCACCACCAUAUUAUUUAAAAUCCCAAAUUUAUAUUUAGAAUUUUAAAAAAUUACUGUUUAAAGGUAUUUGGAAAACAUUUACAAAAGAUAUAUAUUAUAAAAAAAAUAGAAAUAUUUAAUUAAAUAAUAAUAUAAUAAAAUUUCAUUUUUGUUUACAUAUGGUAAUACAACUAGUGAAGAUGUAGAUACAUGUUGAAUAGAAAAAAUCUAAUUUUUUUUUAUAGAAAAAUCUCACUAACCUUAUGCAUUCAUUAACCACCCCAAUAAAUAAACUCAAAUUGAUCUCACAAAUAUCAUUAAUUGCACAUUAGAAUCAUUUUUUAGUAAAGAAAAAGCAAGACGACCAAUUUGAGAAAGUAAAAUAAAACAAGGGAAAAUGCAUGCCAGCUUAUUAAUGAGGACAUUAGCAACCUUAGUUUAAAUAAUCAAUUAAUUAAUUGCUUCAUGUUUUUGAGAUCUAACAAAAGCAUAGUUGUUGUAAGAUAUUACUAAAAUAUAAGAACAUUCCAAUGACAAAAAAAUAAAAAAAGAAAAGAAAGAAAGAAAAAAAUAGUGCAUGCUUUGAUGUAAUAAGCUUUUAAUCAAUCAAUUUUUUAUUCAUUUAUUUACUUUUGAGAAGAGACUUUGAAAUAAUGCCACAAAAUUGUCUCAUAAUUUUAUAUAAAGUUGACUUUGAAAUUAUAAGGUUGCUAGAAAAUUAAUUUGGAGGAAGAUUAAUAAUUACAUUAUUUUAUUCUUCUCACAUGGGGAAUGUUUCAUUCAUCUCUAACAAGUGUUUUUCUUUCAGAAAAAAUAAAUGCAAGUUCAAAAAUAUUUGUCAAUCUACAAAUUUUGUUUGCAGACAACUUUGUAUCAAAAAAAUUUAUACAAUUAUUUAUUUAGUAUCUCCAUGUAUUUGAUAGAAAUAGUAUGAAGUUUGAAGACUAAGUGAUUCUAUCGGUGUUUAAACUAAUAGGUGAGAACAACCAUAAAUUUAAUCACUCCCUUCAAAUUUUAUAAUAUAAAGAAUCUAACUCACUAGUGCACAUCAUCAAUUAUCAAAAAUUGGAUUCUCUUAUUGUUUCUUUCCUUUUUUUUUGUUACUAUUAUUUUUAUUUCCAUUCACAUCUUCAAUAGUCAAUUCUAUUUUAAUUGUCACAUGUCACUAAAAUACUUAUUGCCUAUCUCUACCAUAUUGGUGGAAAAAAUGUAAGAAAUCUUCUAACAUUUUAUAAAUACAUGACAUGUUUAAGAGGGUUUAACUAAUGCAUAAAUUUAUAAUAAAAAAUAGAUCAUAAAUAUCUAGUUAUUAUAGUGAAAUAAAACCCCUAGUGUAAGACAUCAAAUUAUUAUUAGGACUAAAUUUUAAUUAUAAUCUAUAAAUGUAGAUGUUGAAUAAAAUUUAAAAUUUAAUCUAAAAAAUUAGGAAUCAAUAAGAAUGAAUGCUUUCAUCUAAUGUUGAGCUAAAAACAAAGGUAAUAUAAAGUUUAAAAUGGUAAUUUAACUUGAAAAUUUAAAACUAUAAAAAGGAAUUAAUUACGGGGUUAUUUAUUUAAACUUUUUGAAUUUGGUAGAAAAUUAGGAAUUAGUAUAGUGACGUUUGGGUUUGCAAUAGAAUAAUGAUUAAUCAAUGAGUCCCAAACUUCAUUGCAAUUAUUGUGGGUGGGUCUCUUAUGAUUGGAUCGACCAUAUAUUAAAAUAGAAUUAGAAGUGUGUUUAAUUUAUGUCAUAAGAAGAAACAUUAUAUUAUUUUUCCUAACACAUUGACCCAUGCAAACUUUGAUAAAUAGGCCUCACCAGCCUUACACCUAUAUUUGUCGCUCUAUUCAACUUAAUUAGUAUACUUUUUGUUAAAAUUUUCUUUUCACACAUAUCAAUUAUUUAAACAUACUUUACCUCUUUAACAUCACGUUUUACCCAAUCUAUAAUCAAAAGUUGUAUUAUCAUCCUCAUUUUCUAUCCACGAAUCUAUCUAAAUAUUUUGCAUUACCUUUGUCGUUAUCGUUUAGAUCAUUCAAUAACGAUAAUAGCAAAUAUGACAUUUUCAUACUUCUUCCAUUGAUUUUAUUUUACAUAUAUUAUAAUAUUUUCAUGUAAUUAUCAACCAUAAUUGUAUUGAGCAUCCCUUCCUACACAAAAUCGUUAUUGAUUGUUCGUCAAAAUUGAGUAUUUUUUGGUUGGGAGCAUACCAUAUAUAAGACUUCCAUUUUAAUGAGAUUGAGAUAAUAUGAUCUCCAUGUGCUUAUAAAUUUCUUAUACUUUUCUUCUCACAAUUAAUCUCUACUUUAAAAAUAUAUAGAAAUACUAACAUUUAAUAAAAAAAACAUUUAAUUAUUUAAUCAUGAUGCAAUAUACAUAUAUAGUUGAACAUUAGUCAAGUUUUUAAUAAAGGUAAUUAUUAUUGGAUAUUUGAAUGUCUAUUGUCUCUAAUAGUUUGAAAUGUUUAACUUCAAAUAUUUACUAUACACACCCUUUGUUUCAACUAAAAGAAGUCUUAGAUUUUGAAAAGUGAUUAGGUUAAUAAUUAGGUUAAUAAUUAGGUUAAUUUUGAAUGGAGGUCUUAUCAAACGACUAAACAAAGAGAAGGAAUUGAAAGAUUUGAUAAUGAAAAGAGAGCAACACUUAACUACGAUCUACUCUCUCGUCACAAAAAAGAAAAAUUAUGUAGUUGAAUAAUUAAGUGGAACAUAGAAAAUAGAACUAACUGUUGUUAUAUUUGUGUAAUGAGAAAUUAAAAGUGAUGAAAAUGCAUUUAUUAAGCUAUUAAGUAUAGCACAACCUCUGCUUUGAGCAAAAAAGGAUGAGCUAAGAUUCAUUACAGAUAAAGACAGUACAUGAGAAGUAAAGCCGUUUUACAAAGCAAAUACAUGUGAUUUGAUUUAAAACCUGCAAUAAUAAUAUUGGAAAGCUGUAAUAUAAUAAUAUCAAUAGUAAUAUAUGAAAAAGAAACACCAAAUAUACUAUAGAGAUUGAUUCCUUUCAUUUCCCCUAUUGAACCAAACUAAAAUUCACACUGUGUGCUUCAAAUCUUUCAAACAAAACCCUCUUAUUUUGACUUCCACAUAUAUAUAUUCUCAUCUUCAGAUCCCUGCACAACACAACAAAUUAACCAAAAUUAAUUAUUUGGACCCAAGUUUUUGUUUUUUAUUUUUGAAUUUUCUCUAUCUAUUGGGGUCCCUACCACUGAAUUUUGGAUAUAAAUCAUAAACAGUAGUCCAAAUUUUAGUGACGGCCAACCAAAUUUUUAUGAUGUUAAAAAUCCACAGAAUUAUUAUUUGUUUGUUUUCAUUUUCAUCCACAUUUCUCUGUCCUUUGAAAGUAACAUAUAUUAUUAGUUAUGUUUACUGUUAUAUACGUGGAGAAAAGACAACGCAAUUUGGUGGGAGAUUUAAAAUUACCUUGACCUAGGACAUUUAAUUCCUAGUAGUGUGGAGGUGGCGGUGGCGAUGAGUAGUAAUAAACGGGAGGUGGUGGGGAAUGGUAUACUGGUGGUGGUGGAGAAUGAUAGACCGGAGGUGGUGGGAGUGGUAUACUGGUGGUGGUGGAGAGUAGACGGGAGGUGGAUAGUAUACUUUCUUUGGUGGUGGUGGAGAGUAGACGGGAGGAGGGUAGUAUACCUUCUUCGGUGGUGGUGGAGAGUAGACGGGUGGUGGGUAGUAUACCUUCUUCGGUGGUGGUGGAGAGUAGACGGGUGGUGGGUAGUAUACCUUCUUCGGUGGUGGUGGAGAGUAGACGGGUGGUGGGUAGUAUACCUUCUUCGGUGGUGGUGGUGAGUAGACGGGGGGUGGGUAGUAUACCUUCUUCGGUGGUGGUGGUGAGUAGACGGGAGGUGGGUAGUACACCUUCUUCGGUGGUGGUGGUGAGUAGACGGGAGGUGGGUAGUACACCUUCUUCGGUGGUGGUGGUGAGUAGACGGGAGGUGGGUAGUAUACCUUCUUUGGCGGUGGUGGUGAGUAGACUGGUGGUGGGUAGUAUACUUUCUUUGGUGGUGGAGGAGACUUAUAGACGGGUGGUGGAUAGUAUACCUUCUUGGGAGGUGGGGGAGACUUGUAGACUGGAGGUGGGUAGUAUACCUUCUUUGGUGGUGGAGGAGACUUAUAGACGGGAGGAGGGUAGUAUACCUUCUUGGGAGGUGGGGGAGACUUGUAGACGGGAGGUGGGUAGUACACCUUCUUGGGAGGUGGGGGAGACUUGUAGACGGGAGGUGGGUAGUACACCUUCUUGGGAGGCGGGGGAGACUUGUAGACGGGAGGUGGGUAAUACACCUUCUUAGGUGGCGGAGGAGACUUGUAGACGGGAGGUGGGUAAUAAACCUUCUUGGGUGGCGGAGGAGACUUGUAGACAGGAGGUGGGUAAUACACCUUCUUUGGUGGUGGUGGAGAGUAAACUGGUGGUGGAUAGUAAACCUUCUUGGGUGGUGGUGGAGAGUGAUACACUGGAGGUGGAUAGUAUGAUUUCUUGGGUGGUGGAGGAGAAUGGUAUACUGGAGGCGGGUAAUAUACCUUCUUAGGUGGAGGAGGAGAAGCGUAGAUAUAAUUAGCAUUGGUAGUGGACGGCAGAGUUAGGGAAAGGAGAGCAACAAAGGCAGCAAAAAGAAUAGGAGCCAUUGAAGAUCCCAUUUUUCCCAUCCUUGAAUGGAUUG